UACGUAGGGGGCUAGCGUUGUCCGGAAUCAUUGGGCGUAAAGAGCGUGUAGGCGGCCAUGUAGGUCCGUUGUGAAAACUCGAGGCUCAACCUCGAGACGCCGAUGGAAACCAUGUGGCUAGAGUCCGGAAGAGGAGAGUGGAAUUCCUGGUGUAGCGGUGAAAUGCGCAGAUAUCGGGAAGAACACCCGUGGCGAAGGCGGUUCUCUGGGACGGUACUGACGCUGAGACGCGAAAGCGUGGGGAGCGAACAGG
rnacentral:rRNA from 1 species